rnacentral:rRNA from 1 species
CCCCAGCGCCACGAGUGGGAAUCGGUAUUAUUGGGUCUAAAGCGUCCGUAGCAGGUCUGUUAAAUUGCCCGUGAAAUCGCACAAGUCAACUGUGCGGACUGCGGGUAGGACUGGCAGACUAGAGACUGGGAGACGUUGGAGGUAUUCAAAGGGGAGCGGUAAAAUGCGAGAAUCCUUUGAGGACCACCUGUUGCGAAGGCGUCCAACAAUAACAGGUCUGACUGUGAGGGGCGAAAGCUAGGGGA